CAGACAAUCGCUGAGAGAUCAGAGGAAAGUCCAUGCUCGCACAUCCUGCGACGGAUGUAGUGUUUAUGCCAAGUGAAACGAUAAGCUUGGGCAGCGUAAGCUGACGGCUGGCGAAUAUCCUAAAGAGAGAUCCAUGGAGAUAGCCUGUAAAAGUGUCAAAGUGACGAAUAAGCAGAAAUGCGGAAAUGGAACGUGAUAAACCCCGUAAGCGAGAAACCCAAAUUUGGUAGGGGAACCUGGGAUAGCAAAAUGAAGUGAUUUCCGGGGCAUGAAAAUGCAGAUAAAUGAUUGUCCAGUACAGAACAUGGCUUAUUG
rnacentral:RNase_P_RNA from 1 species